GUGUCUUUGUUGUUAUUUUGAGACAGACUCACGUAACCCCGGCUGGCCUUGAUCUCCUUGUGUCCCUGUUGGGUUAGGGGCUCGUGCCAGCAUGCCACGUCUGUGUGGUGUUGGGGAUCAACCCCAGGACUUUAUGCACACUAGGCUGAGCCACACCCAGAGAUCUCACAUCUAGGGUCUUGAUGCGUUCACACUGGCACCGUGCACCUGAAGCCGAGUCCAGAAGUGGACCACCCCUUCCACCGUCUUGACCUCUGUCUUUUUCUCUGCAGGUCCCACAGACUGUAUUCCUCCGGAUUCUACCCACGUAGUUGCAGUUGUCCCUUGGGAGCCAAGGGACAGGUGGGGUAAGAUUAUAGCCUUCGUCUACACUGGCCCAGAUGGAGGUUGGAAGAUCCUGCCUCAUCGAAUCUGCAAAGUUUGCAGGCCGAGGUCUCUAUGUAUGUUUCCCUGUGGGUCCUGGAGCAGCGGAACACACACCUUCCCAGACAUCCAGGCAGAGGAGGUGGCUCUCCCUGGGCAGUGGUCUGCUUUGCAUGAUGAUAAGCAAGCUCCUGACAGUGCUAAAUGGGCGUCGACUUCCAAUAAACCCCAUGCUGGUGGGUGCAGCGUGAGAGAAGAGACCUGGUCGCUGCAACAUAGCAGCCUUAGCUGUCUUCUCCAGCCUUCUGUCAAGAAAGACAGGCCCAGCAUAGGAGUCUGUUGGAGACAGAGAAGUGAUCCUGGCCUGUCUGAUUACAUGUGGGAGCAGAUUUAAGAGCACCUUAAUCUCAACAAGCUGUCUCAAUCCACUUAGGGUGUCACAAGCACCCCAUGUAGCAUGCCACAAGAGUCAACACCUGCAAGGUACAGUGUGGACCCCAACUUCCAUGGGGAGACAGACACACAAGUAGGUAAUAAAGGGUUAAGACAGGCCAUGUGUAGGAUGCUUGAGUGCUGCUUCAGGACACAAUGUGCCAUGCAGACACAGCAGAGGUCCCCAGCUUCCUGCACCUCUCCUGCUGGGAGCCAUAAAGUAGGUGCUGGAGCAGAGCUCAGUCUGCUUGGUAUUGUGUUCUUCCAUGACCUCAAAAGUCCUUAGUCCCUAAAGAGGGUGUCUCAGGGAUCUAGUCAGGACUAAAGCAGAGGGUCAGAAUAGCCCGGAGAAGCAUACAAGGGCUCCUCCAUGCAGAGUAGUGCUCUUUCUUCCUGAUUUCCCAUCAUCCUCAUGGUACAGCCACUCCAUUCUCGGCCAAGCUCUCCUCUUCCCUUCUCUGUAUUCCCUGUUCCCAAGCAAGCUCUGUUGUAGCUGUAACACUGCCAAGUGUCCCCCACCCGCACUCCCACCCCCGCUUUCAAAUGAAACUUGUUUCUCUCCUGUGCUUACUGUCCUUGAAGGCAAGGACUGGUGGCCAAGUCCCGGCAUAAUGCUGUCAGAUAACGGGGACCUAGUAAAUAUUUAUUGCUGACUGAUCUGCAUAUAUAUUUGUGGGGUGUGUGUGUGCGCACACACUAAGCUGCCAUGCACUUUGGAGGCCUGGUCACUGAGACAAGGUGCCUGCUGUGCUAUUUAUCACUUGGGCAACCCCAUCAGUUAUUUUACUUCUCCGAGAGACUCAAGUUCCUCGUCUGUAAAAUUGUGAUGCUAAUGUUUAUCCCCUAGGGAUGCUGUUUGCAUGAAAUGAAAUGGUGAACACUGGAGCACACCGGCCUAGUCUGGGCACAUCUUAACAACUCUCUAAAUCCUGCAUCCUCCCUAACAAAUGGAUGGCGAGGGAAUAAAUCUGAGGGUCAGUGGGGCCAACUAGGUGUCCAAGAUGCCAAACGAUUCACUUUCAAAAGUCAGCCUGCUAAGGGACCUCCAUUGCAUUUGUAGAGUCUUCCUUCCGGUGAGAAUGUAGGUAUUCAUAAUUUUAGUCCACACAGGAGCAGUAGAGCCUCAUGGCUGUGGAUCUGGAACUGGGCAGAAGGCUUCCUGGGUUCAGAUCCCAUUUCUACUUCACGUUCCUUGGACUUUGGGUCACUUGCCCUAGCCUUCCUGGCUCUCUGGUCUCUCCAGGAUGGAACUGAGAAGAAGAGCUCUUGCCACACGGCCACUGAUUCUUCAUUGUCCUUAAGAGAACCCUGGGCAUAGAGGCGCUGUGUUUGUGGCUGCAGUGCCCUGCCUGCCACAUCUUAGUUUGCAUAAUUAAAGAAUCCAGUCCGGUUUCACAGUGGCACAGAUCGAUGUGGACACCAUGAAGGCACGUACCCAAUCUGUUCUGCCAGAGCUUUGUGACGUGAAAGCCACUCUCCCACUUCACUCGGUCUUCCCUCCUCUCCUCUCCAGCCAAAGUCAC